rnacentral:pre_miRNA from 1 species
UUAGCUCAUAUUUGUAUGGAAUGGAAUCGUUUUCCUACGUUUGCCGCUAGGGGCACUGUUCCAACCGCAUACAAAGUUGCGUUA